rnacentral:rRNA from 1 species
GACGAACGCUGGCGGCGUGCUUAACACAUGCAAGUCGAACGGAAAGGCCCUGCUUUUGUGGGGUGCUCGAGUGGCGAACGGGUGAGUAACACGUGAGUAACCUGCCCUUGACUUUGGGAUAACUUCAGGAAACUGGGGCUAAUACCGGAUAGGAGCUCCUGCUGCAUGGUGGGGGUUGGAAAGUUUCGGCGGUUGGGGAUGGACUCGCGGCUUAUCAGCUUGUUGGUGGGGUAGUGGCUUACCAAGGCUUUGACGGGUAGCCGGCCUGAGAGGGUGACCGGCCACAUUGGGACUGAGAUACGGCCCAGACUCCUACGGGAGGCAGCAGUGGGCAAUAUUGCACAAUGGGCGGAAGCCUGAUGCAGCAACGCCGCGUGCGGGAUGACGGCCUUCGGGUUGUAAACCGCUUUCGCCUGUGACGAAGCGUGAGUGACGGUAAUGGGUAAAGAAGCACCGGCUAACUACGUG